rnacentral:rRNA from 1 species
UACGGGGGGAGCAAGCGUUGCUCGGAAUCACUGGGCGUAAAGGGUGCGUAGGCGGGUCUUUAAGUCAGGGGUGAAAUCCUGGAGCUCAACUCCAGAACUGCCUUUGAUACUGAGGAUCUUGAGUUCGGGAGAGGUGAGUGGAACUGCGAGUGUAGAGGUGAAAUUCGUAGAUAUUCGCAAGAACACCAGUGGCGAAGGCGGCUCACUGGCCCGAUACUGACGCUGAGGCACGAAAGCGUGGGGAGCAAACAGG